GGGGAUUAGUGGCGAACGGGUGAGUAACACGUGAGUAACCUGCCCUUAACUCUGGGAUAAGCCUGGGAAACUGGGUCUAAUACCGGAUAUGACUCCUCAUCGCAUGGUGGGGGGUGGAAAGCUUUUGUGGUUUUGGAUGGACUCGCGGCCUAUCAGCUUGUUGGUGAGGUAAUGGCUCACCAAGGCGACGACGGGUAGCCGGCCUGAGAGGGUGACCGGCCACACUGGGACUGAGACACGGCCCAGACUCCUACGGGAGGCAGCAGUGGGGAAUAUUGCACAAUGGGCGGAAGCCUGAUGCAGCGACGCCGCGUGAGGGAUGACGGCCUUCGGGUUGUAAACCUCUUUCAGUAGGGAAGAAGCGAGAGUGACGGUACCUGCAGAAGAAGCGCCGGCUAACUACGUGCCAGCAGCCGCGGUAAUACGUAGGGCGCAAGCGUUAUCCGGAAUUAUUGGGCGUAAAGAGCUCGUAGGCGGUUUGUCGCGUCUGCCGUGAAAGUCCGGGGCUCAACUCCGGAUCUGCGGUGGGUACGGGCAGACUAGAGUGAUGUAGGGGAGACUGGAAUUCCUGGUGUAGCGGUGAAAUGCGCAGAUAUCAGGAGGAACACCGAUGGCGAAGGCAGGUCUCUGGGCAUAACUGACGC
rnacentral:rRNA from 2 species